UCGGGCUCAUAAACAAAAUUGUGACCUAUCGUAGUAAUGCGAUAUGGAAAAACUUUCGAAAUUGCCGGAAACCCUACCUGUCUUUUGGCAAGAGGGCAAUCAGCAGCGAAGCCCUUCGGCAAGCUCAGGGUAAAUUCCUUGAUUUUGUUGGAGGUAACGUUCAGAGACUAUAAUGGAAGCUUCCUAACCCUAUAGCUUAAGGAUGACUGUGUCCUCCCGAAGCUUUAGCGAAGGAGGAUGGGAUAGUCCGAACCUGGGAGUAAUUCCAGU
rnacentral:ncRNA from 1 species